rnacentral:rRNA from 1 species
CCAAUAGCGUAUAUUAAAGUUGUUGCAGUUAAAAAGCUCGUAGUUGAACUUCGGGGUUUACCCAUUGGUCAGGCUUAAUUGUCUGCACUGGUGAGAUGAAUCUCUACCUUCUGAGGAACUUUCAUGCCAUUUAUUUGGUGUGAUGGGAAAUCAGGACUGUUACUUUGAAAAAAUUAGAGUGUUUAAAGCAGGCUAACGUCUGAAUACAUUAGCAUGGAAUAAUGAAAUAGGACGGACUGAUUCUAUUUCGUUGGUUUCUAGGAUCACCGUAAUGAUUAAUAGGGAUAGUUGGGGGCAUUAGUAUUCAAUUGUCAGAGGUGAAAUUCUUGGAUUUAUUGAAGACUAACUACUGCGAAAGCAUUUGCCAAGGAUGUUUUCAUUAAUCAAGAACGAAAGUUAGGGGAUCGAAGACGAUCAGAUACCGUCGUAGUCUUAACCAUAAACUAUGCCGACUAGGGAUCGGACGAAGUUAAUUUUAUAAUGACGCGUUCGGCACCUUGCG